UGCAUCUGUGUAACCUGGUGCAAACUGUGCAGGACAAGACAAACAAGACAGAAAUUACAAGACAAUACAAAAAAAGACAAUACACAGAAAAAGCACUGACCAGUGUAAAUUCUUUAUGUUCAAACAAUAUUGCAUGUGCAAAAAUACUGAGGUGAGAGAGGUGGGAGGGCAGUCUGUCAUAUCCACCAUGUCAUGUGGUUUGCUUGAAAACCCGGAUUGGAUCACUCUGGUCACCUGAGGAGAAAAAAAAAACGGUUCACGUUGGUAGUAAAGCGGCUGUCGGAUUAGCGCGGUUUUACUGUUCACACCAAUCCGUCUAUGUAAGGUUUAAUCAGGUUUAAUAACAACAACAAACACUUAUCUGACAUGUGUGAAGAAAAACUACAGCGCGCGCACGCACACACACACACGCGUUACAGCAUAAUUAUCCACUUUACUUUACUGAUCAUUUGCUUCGAAACGUUUAAUUCUGUUGUUUAUAAAACACCCAAACGACACAAAAAGCUCCUCUCCGUAUCUUUGAAAGCGCAUGAGCGCCAUAAACCUGUCUGAGACCCGCGGAUGGAUACGUCAGCGUUAUCCGCCUCGGAGCUGAACAAAGUCACGUAACAACCGGAAAAUAACAAAGCAGGGGGGGAAAACACACAAACGCUCAGAGAGGAGGAUAAAGCGUUUUUCACCACAUAACAACCCGGCGGUAAAAAAAAAAAAAAAAAUCCGUUUAAAUAAGACAAAAACAACGGCAGGUUUAAUAGUUCCAGGUCCUAACAGAAAGGUGUAAUCCGGUCCGCGGACGAAGAAGAAGAAAAAAAAAACCAACAACAAGGAGUGCGCGAGCGCAGAGACACACAGAGAGCUCGGUGUCGUUUCCAAGCGUCCUCCAUUUUGUCUCCUCGCGCAGGCUGCGGCUCACGUGUCCCGGACUUGUCUCUCUCACAUGACCCUCGUGUUUGUCCCCGUGAUCAGCGCCGCCGUCUCCGCGUUUCAAGUGUUGCCGAAUAUCGCGUUUAAAAAAAAGAGAGAGAGAGAGAAUCGCUCACCUUCAUGGAUAUGCUCGAACAGAGCCUGGACGCUCAGACGAGUCACGAGAAACAGGAAACUGAGGAGGUUGUUCAGUUGCAGGAAGGAGAAGGAGUAGGGGCGGAGGAAUCAACGGCGGUUACCAUAGCGAGCACCCAGCAAGCCGCUGUAUUUGCCGACAAUGUCCAGUACCAGUUCCGCACAGAAAACAGCAGUGGGCAGGUGACAUAUCGUGUCGUCCAGGUAACAGAAGACCAGUUGGAAGCAGCUGGAGAUGGAGGAGCUGCGGUCAGUGUCGUAUCCACUGCCGCCUUUGCUGGAGCCCAGCAGGCGGUUGCACAGGCUGUUAUCCAGAACCCUUUCAGUAACGGAGGGAGUCCGGCAGGUGAGACGGUCGGGGGUGAGACACGUUUCGCCUACUUCCCGGCUGCAACGGUCAGCGACGGUACAGCGACAGCAGUUUCAGUGCAGGCAGCUGCUGAUGCGACUCUUGCACCAGCAGCAGGUCAGUUUUAUGUGAUGAUGAGCCCUCCAGAUGUGUUACAAACAGGCACGCCGCGGACCAUCGCCCCUCGAACACACACUUAUUCCACUAAAAACGAGUCAAGUGAAGUGCAGAAGAAAAGGGCAUUUAGGCAACACAACACAUCGUGCACUGGACCGCAGACCAGCCUUACGUGUCCAGUGAAUACGGAUUCUCUGCACAGAAUGACAUCAUAUCAAGCGUCUUCAGCUGGUUUUGAGUUUUCCUUGUGGAGUUUUACUGUUUUACAGCUACAUCCAACUCCUUCAUCUGCAUUUCAUUUCCUCCUCUGUCCAAAAACAGGAAGAUGGACGGCCCAAGAGCACCGCGGGACGAGAGGAGGAGAGCGCAGCACAACGAAGUGGAAAGAAGAAGAAGAGACAAAAUCAACAACUGGAUAGUCACACUGUCAAAAAUCAUCCCGGACUGCAACAUGGACAACACCAAAACUGGAGCAAGCAAAGGAGGAAUCCUGUCCAAAGCGUGUGAUUACAUCAGAGAGCUCAGGCAGAGCAACCAGAGACUGCAGGAGAGUUUUAAAGAGGUGGAGAGAAUACAGGUGGAUAACGAGCUCUUAAGACAGCAGAUUGAAGACUUGAAGAACGACAACGCACUGCUCAGAGCCCAACUCCAACAGCAUGGCCUUGAAAUCAGCGGAGAGACCAUUUCGCAGUGACGGACAGUCGCACGCAGAAUGGAAUAGACACGGCUCUACAAAAUCACCUCACAGACUCCAGAUGUUUGUUAGCCUGAUAGAAUAAUAAUGGCUGUCUCAUAUUAACAGAAGAAAUGAUCCGAGAAACUAUUGAACAAUAGAUAAAAAAAAGCACAUCUACUGUUCCACCUGUCAGAGCUUGACCUACACGGGCGUGGCAACAAACUGAAACGCACCACAAUAUGUGACGUAAACCGGCCUGCAUCGGACUAACGUCUUUUUUUUUUUUUUUUUUUUUUAAUUAUGAUGAAUUGAAAUUCUCAACAAUGCCUCAUGAUCACAUUUUGUUUGAACUUGUGGUGGUUUUUCCUCUGCCCCAAUGCACCCCCCUCCACCCCCUGUAUUUCUUCAUAAUUAUUACUGCUGUCUCCAGAAUGUUGUAUUGUUUUGUCUGCAUUAUUUAUUAGCGCACAGAGAAGUACACAACAGGGAUGAACACAAUCACGUCUUUCACAUUUAAGAUGCUUUGCAGUUAAUUAGAGCAAAUUUUCCUUUGUUCCUGGGUCUAUUUAAGGUCUAGGGCUUUAAGCAAUUUCUAAGAUUCUGUUCAUCAGAUAUAUCAAAAGUCCGAGUUGUGGUGUAGAUGUACCAGGCAAUUAAUGAUUCAGAAUUUAAUUAAGCAAGUGAUGUUUCAAGAGCUUGGGGUUGACAGAGGACAUACCGUGGGACAGGAACGCUUGACCGGACGUCCCAUACUUUGAAUCCGUUUUCUAAACACUUUGUCGCCACAUAAAAUAUUAACGAGCGAGAAUGGCUUGAGCAGACCUCAGAAUUCAGACGUGUACUGUAUCCCAAACCAAACGCCCAGGAUAAAUGUGCUGAACAGAACUGAAAUGAUGGUCUCAAUUAGGAGGAAAUGCUUCCCAAUAACCACCUCUCCCACCUGUACCUGCCUUAAAAACUGCAAUAUUGCUUUGCUGUGGUAACAUAGAGAUUAAUAAAUUUAGUGGAAACCAUAGUUUACAUCACAAUGUAA